rnacentral:lncRNA from 1 species
AAGUGUAAUUUUUCUUCUAUAAAUGCAAGCUUUCUCAUUGCCCAUUUUUGUUAGAGAUCAUUCAUCCUCAUCCAAAUAUAAAGGUCAACCAAUUCUUCGCUGAUACUUAAUACCAGUCACUGUCUAGCAGCCUAACAUAUCUGUAGCAGUAUCUUCUAGUGUAUGUUGUCAUGCGCAAUUCCUCUCCUGAAAUAGCUGAUGUAGCAUCGGCAUGCGUCUUGCAUUAACCUAUGCACAUGUGCUAUGCACCAUUUUACUUUUCUUGAUGUUUUUAGCCUUCAAUGCUUGCAGAGCAGAGUGGCUUCUCUCUUGAAUGCAAGCUUUCUCAUUUUCCAUAUUCCUAGUCUCGUUGAUGAUUGCUCCUCUUCCUUGAUAGCCUGGGUCUUUGUGCAAGCUACACUGAAGUGAUUGAUUGCAGAAUCUGGUUUUGCUGUCACACUUGGUUGUGGUAACUGUGUUACGUUUCUCAGAUGUGGGGGCCUGGUCAGUUGCAUUGGGAAGCAGCCUCUCGUAGUAAGCAUUUGAUCCUGCAGUCUGCACAGCGACAUAGACUCCCAAUUUACGCACACCGUGAUUCGUGCUCCCCGUUCACCCUUUCCUGCUGCAGCCAUGGGCAAAUUGUGCCUCUGGCCUUUCUCGGCCGCGAUUAGGCAUGAACGGAGACCAGCAUAAGUGCUUACAUGGCCGGACGUGUAUGAAGUUGGGUGGAAAGGCCCGCAAAAGUAGCUGAUGGAGGCGAUGCCCACGAAAGCGACUUGUCCAUAGUGAGACAAUGUGAGACACCAAGUGUGAGCCACACAUUAGCGGCCCCCGAAAGAAAAGAAACGUGCAGGUUGGAAAGGAGUGAACGGCUAAAAUCUGGGGUAGCCCAUGUCGCUGUGUAGGCUGCGGCAGCAGAUGCCUGCGUCUCCCGAUUGCUUCGCAAUGCAAUUUGGGCAUUUUUAACGGCGACUGUCGCUGCAAACAAGUGGCAUACUCUGUCCAAUAUGUUUCCGCUGCUGGUUGUUGCUCGUUAACCUGACCACCACGUUCGACGACGACGGUGAGCCGUUUACGAGCUCGCGUCAAUGAUUCCAGCGUAUCUCGACAUGCAAAUUUUAUUUCUGCUAUUGCACGAGAAUGUACACUGCUUGUCUUCUGGCAAUAAAGUCGCGCGUUCUGUUCACUCA